AUCAUUUUGGUGGUAUGCUGGUACCAGAAUUCUGAAGUCAGUUGCAAAUAUUUGGAGAAGUUUGGGAACCACUGCCUUAGGAAAUUCAUCAGGAGAACAGACAUAUAAACACAUUCAGAGAUAACAAACUCAAGGCUGUGAGAACUAAGUUCAAUCAGGUUUUUGUCCAGUUGUUGGGUUACCUGGAAGGCCAGGAUUGGAGGAGAGGAUUCUCUGUGUCAUACCUCCCAGGCUCCAAUAACAUGUAACACUCCUCUUUCCUCCCUCCCAGAGCAUGAGAAGAGGGUAGACAGUGACUUGGGGACCCAAAAUAUCUUUCUUGUUGUUCUCUCAUCAGUAAAAUUAAAUUCCAAUUAAUUUAACUCCACAAAUACCAGGGUCUAAAUUUUUUUUUAUUUUUUUAUUGUUGGUUGUUCAAAAC
rnacentral:lncRNA from 1 species